rnacentral:rRNA from 1 species
UACGAAGGGGGCUAGCGUUGCUCGGAAUCACUGGGCGUAAAGCGCACGUAGGCGGAUUCUUAAGUCGGUGGUGAAAGCCUGGAGCUCAACUCCAGAACUGCCUUCGAUACUGAGAGUCUUGAGUUCGGGAGAGGUGAGUGGAACUGCGAGUGUAGAGGUGAAAUUCGUAGAUAUUCGCAAGAACACCAGUGGCGAAGGCGGCUCACUGGCCCGAUACUGACGCUGAGGCACGAAAGCGUGGGGAGCAAACAGG